AAACAGGUCAGCUAAGAAAGGAGCACAAUUCGUACCCAUGGAAAUUCCAGCAGACUGUUGGAAGAUUUGAUCACCAAAGACCACGAAAAUAUUGUCAAUGAGGAGCUGUAGCAAAUUCUUUAUUUCAACUUCAGAGUAUCUGUGCGUGGUAUCAGAGUGGUUUUUCAUAAAAGGCUUUAAAUAAUUGAGAUCUUUGGCAGAGAGAUGGAGAUAAAGAUGUUUGUUUUACUGCUCAGUGUGUGUAUUUUGGAAAUGACCAAUACUGCUUCUGGAUGGUUAAGAUAUAAUAGACAUUGGUAUUACCACUACACUCACAGACUAAAUUGGAUUGGCGCUCAGUUGUAUUGCCGACGUCAGGGUGGAAAUUUGGUACACAUCGACAAUGCCCAAGAAAACUAUUGGUUAUCAUCACAUUAUCACACCGCAUCCAUAUGGAUUGGCGCUACUGACCAGGGAAGAGAAGGUCACUGGAGGUCAAUAACCACAGGAAAGAUAGUACCGUACACGAACUGGAAAGGGACAAAUCCUGACAAUUACCGAGGAAACCAAGAUUGUGGGACAUUGAACUGGGGAGGUAACGGGCACUGGGACGACAAUACCUGCUCGAGAAGAUUCACUUUCAUCUGCGAAGUACAUGGAAACUGAAACAAUGUUUCUGAUACAGAAUAAAGAGAAGAUAUGCAGCCAUGUAAAUGUCUCUGCAUAAUAAAUAUCUUUGUUAUAAUA